GACGAAGGGGGCUAGCGUUGUUCGGAAUUACUGGGCGUAAAGCGAGUGUAGGUGGUUGUCCAAGUUUGGAUGUGAAAGCCUUGAGCUCAACUCAAGAAAUGCAUUCAGGACUGGGCGGCUAGAGGACCGGAGAGGAUAGUGGAAUUCCCAGUGUAGUGGUGAAAUACGUAGAGAUUGGGAAAGAACACCAGUGGCGAAGGCGGCUAUCUGGACGGUUUCUGACACUAAGACUCGAAAGCGUGGGGAGCAAACAGG
rnacentral:rRNA from 1 species